CACGUGGGUAACCUGCCCAAGAGAUCGGGAUAACACCUGGAAACAGAUGCUAAUACCGGAUAACAACAGAUGAUGCCUAUCAACUGUUUAAAAUAUGGUUCUGCUAUCACUCUUGGAUGGACCUGCGGUGCAUUAGCUAGUUGGUAGGGUAACGGCCUACCAAGGCGAUGAUGCAUAGCCGAGUUGAGAGACUGAUCGGCCACAUUGGGACUGAGACACGGCCCAAACUCCUACGGGAGGCAGGAU
rnacentral:rRNA from 1 species